AACUCUGAGCGGUGGAUCACUCGGCUCGUGGUCGUCGAUGAGAAGAGCGCAGCCCAACUGCGUGAAAUUAGUGUGAAUUGCAACAGGAAUAUCUUGAACAUCGACAUCUUGAACGCAUAUUGCGGCCGUCAGGUCUCCCCUGUGGCCACGCCUGGCCGAGGGUCG
rnacentral:rRNA from 1 species